UCCGCUCCCCGGGCGAUCGCGGACUCGGCAACGGGUUCGAGGAAAGUCCGGACACCAAAGGGCAGCGCGCCUUGCGAAAGCAGGGGACGGCGGGGUUCAAGCCCCUCCGGACGGAAAGUGCCGCAGAAAACAAACCGCCGAUGGCCCGCAAGGGAUCAGGCAAGGUUGAAAUGGUGGGGUAAGAGCCCACCGCCCCAAGGGUAACCGCGGGGGCACGGCAAACCCCGCGUGGUGCAAGACAUAACAGGGGAAGGGUCGCCCGCCCGAGCAGUAUCCCCGGGUAAUAGUCGCCUAGAGAAAUGGUCGCCCAUCCCUGCGCUCGUCGCAGGGGGGACAGAAUCCGGCUUACAGGGGAGCGGAACGU
rnacentral:RNase_P_RNA from 1 species